ACAACUUUUAACAACGGAUCUCUUGGCUCUCGCAUCGAUGAAGAACGCAGCGAAAUGCGAUAAGUAAUGUGAAUUGCAGAAUUCAGUGAAUCAUCGAAUCUUUGAACGCACCUUGCGCUCUCUGGUAUUCCGGGGAGCACACCUGUUCGAGUGUCAUUGAAACUCUCAAAUAAAGGUGGUUUUUGCAGACCAUCUCUGUUU
rnacentral:rRNA from 1 species